AAAACGUAUACAUAAUGUUUAAUUUUUGAAUGUAAUUGGGCAGUUUUCUCCAAAGAACACAGAAGCUGUUAACCUCCGUGUUGCUGGACAAACCUGUGCCCAAUGUCGUAAUGAACUGGUAACCUUGCUUUAAACAGACUGUACUCCUGUUGAUUCGUUUGACCGAUCUCAAAACCAAGAGGCCCCUCUUUGGGGGAGGCGUGCGAGGUUCCAGAUCUUCAUAUGGUGCCGUAUUUCGUGGUUCAGCACGGAUGGAUUGUGGACAGUAGUUUAAGAGCCUUGAGCCCUUCACUAUUGAGUAUUGAGGAAUUCGGCUGGCCAGAUGCUGUGACACUGCCUCCUAGGCUCCUGUCUCAAAUAGGUAAAAACAAUGACUGCAGAUGCUGGAAACCAGAUUCUGGAUCAGUGGUGCUGGAAGAGCACAGCAAUUCAGGCAGCAUCCGAAGACAGGCAAAAUCGACGUUUCGGGCAAAAGCCCUUCACCUGUCUCAAAUAUGCAGGUUGGAGGAGUAAAAGAAAUACAUCAAGAUCCUUCAACCUACUUGGUAAGAAGACAUGGCUGGAUAUUGGACCAUCACCC